UAGCUCAACUGGAUAGAGCACCAGACUACGAAUCUGGGGGUUGGGGGUUCGAGUCCUCC
rnacentral:tRNA from 1 species